UAUGUGAUCGUCUCUCGCAUAUCAAUAAGCGGAGGAAAAGAAACUAACAAGGAUUCCCCUAGUAACGGCGAGUGAAGCGGGAAGAGCUCAAAUUUGAAAUCUUAAAGGGUUUCCCUUUACGAAUUGUAGUUUAAAGAAGUGUUUUCUGUUGAGGUUUUGGUAAAAGUUCUUUGGAAUAGGACAUCAUAGAGGGUGAGAAUCCCGUAUUUGACCUUUACUUUCAACUUUGUGAUACACUUUCAAAGAGUCGGAUUGUUUGGGAAUGCAGUCCAAAAUGGGUGGUAAAUUUCAUCUAAAGCUAAAUAUUGGCGAGAGACCGAUAGCGAACAAGUACCGUGAGGGAAAGAUGAAAAGAACUUUGAAAAGAGAGUUAAACAGUACGUGAAAUUGUCAAAAGGGAAGCGUUUGACACCAGUGUUGUUUUUCUGAAAAUCAAUUAAAGAACUGUUUAUGCUAAGUUGUUUAGACUUUAUCAGCUAUCUGCUUAGUUUUGAGCUUUUCUUUAAUGCACUUUUCAGUUAACAAGUCAACAUCAAUUUCUUUUGCUGUAAAAAAGCUUGAGGAAGGUGGCUUGAGAUUCGUCUUAAGUGUUUAUAGCCCCUUGCCUAUGCAGUCGGAGAGAUUGAGGUCUGCAGCGUAGAUCCUUCGGGGCUAAAUGCAUUUGUGCUAAGUUAUAGCAUUUUAUAGACAACUUGUUGACUAUGAUUUGUCUUGUAGCUUACUCGCUUAUGUUAUUUUACCUACGCUUAGGAUGUUGAACGCGCACAGAGUCUC
rnacentral:rRNA from 1 species